GACGAACGCUGGCGGCGUGCUUAACACAUGCAAGUCGAACGGUAAGGCCCCAGCUUGCUGGGGUACACGAGUGGCGAACGGGUGAGUAACACGUGGGUGACCUGCCCUGCACUUCGGGAUAAGCCUGGGAAACUGGGUCUAAUACCGGAUAGGACCGCACCGUGAGGGUGUGGUGGAAAGUUUUUCGGUGUGGGAUGGGCCCGCGGCCUAUCAGCUUGUUGGUGGGGUAAUGGCCUACCAAGGCGGCGACGGGUAGCCGGCCUGAGAGGGUGGACGGCCACAUUGGGACUGAGACACGGCCCAGACUCCUACGGGAGGCAGCAGUGGGGAAUAUUGCACAAUGGGCGGAAGCCUGAUGCAGAGACGCCGCGUGGGGGAUGACGGCCUUCGGGUUGUAAACUCCUUUCACCAUCGACGAAGGUUUUCUGACGGUAGAUGGAGAAGAAGCACCGGCUAACUACGUG
rnacentral:rRNA from 1 species